UGCAAUGUGUUCAAGGCAGAUAGUAGAUUAUAUGGUUAAGCAUCUCACUUAUAUUGGUAAUUUUUAUUUGUUUUAUUUAAAUUAAAAUGGUUUAUGUAUUCUGCUCUAUAGGUGAAUUUGCUCCAAUCAUUCUGCAACCCUCGAGGAGGUGACAUUUCCAUCAAAUGAUUUUACAGCUCGUUUGGUGUCAACAAUGGGUGGCAGUAAACUGCAUUGCUACUAAGUGCGGAGUAAGGACUAAAGCAUUUGUCUUAUUAUACACACAUUACAUAUAUCAAAAUGACCAUGAAGGAUAUAGUUGUUUCCUCAGCUUCUGUCUGCCAAGGACGUGGUGGAUCCAAAGAAGUUUCUGGUGCAGAGUUAGCUUUGGAAGGAACUUCUUCUGCUCAUUGUUUACAUGCUGGUGGUACUCUUGGUGUUUUGCCAACUGGAAAGAAGAUAGUUAGCAUGGGCAUUAUUCAUUCAUCAAUGCCAAAACACAAAAGGCUUAGACAACAAAAAAGAAUGCCCGUUUUUCAGUGGUCUAUUGAAGAAAAAUCAAAGGGGGCAAAAGAUAAUACUCCCUCCAUUCCGAUUUACUCGUCGUGGUUUUAGUUUAAAUUUGAACUAAAACCACGACGAGUAAAUCGGAACAGACGGAGUAGUAUUUCUAAAGGUAUUUUUCUGGAGAUCCGACAUUAUCCAUUUCUUAUAUAUUUUUCCUGAAAAUAAGUAAAUAUAUUAAUUAGAAGUAUCAGGUAUAGAACUAUUCUAAAGUGAUUUUUAGUAUCACUAGCACCACCAACAAUUGGCAUGUGGGCUUGUUUUCCUUUGUAAGACGAUGAUGACAAAGUUAUCCCCGGGUCUGAGUGCCUCAAGUGUGCAUACAAUGGCUUACAUAUUAACUGAAUAUUGGGUUUGAUCUUCAGAGAAUUCUCAAUGCGUAGAGCAAUCCUCUCCAUAUUAACACAUAAAGCCCCAUUCCCUCCCAACACUGGCCGGUGGCGGAGCUUGGCAACGGUGGUGAUGUGGAGGCGAUGACCAUCAUGGAAGAGGGAAAUAUGCUGCUAGAUACUGAUGUUGAUUGCAACGACUCCAUUACAUUGUAACGAGGGGAUACCGCAAUGGACAAGGCAGAAAUCUUGUUCAGAGGGACAAUGCCCACGGGUGACUGCGGUGUGAGCUGGUGUUGUCCCGUCGUGGCAAUAGGGACGCAGAGGCAAGGUGGAGGCCAGAGAUGGCAUGGAGAAAAAUUAUGACGAGCAAAGCAGUGGCAUUGUACAGUAACACGGUCAUGUGUGUGGCCUCUGCGCAGCAGCGACAGAUACAGGCAGUGGCGGGUGGCGGAAUAGCAAGGCAUCCGGUCAGAUGACAUGGGUCGAUGGGGAGUUGGUGGCUCUCGACUACAACAAAGAUCAUCGAGGCAAUCUAUAUUGAUAUCAACGAGAAUCCAGAAUAGGCUCUUAAGGGAGCAAGGGUGUUUGGCGCCUGGAGGAGCGUCCGGGUUCAAGGAUCUGGCCCCCGCCAUCGAGACGUAUGGGGUCGUCGCCGAGUACAUCUGGUUAUGAGAGAGAUGGAUAUGAAUUAUGUUGACGUUCAAAAAGAAACCAUCGACAAGGGACAAUAUUGAUGAAAGGGGCAAAAAAUUAACAAAAUUUUAAGUAUAUAUGUGCAAUCAAAAAAAAUUAUUUAAAAGGCCUGUAGCAACUCAUGCAAGGUGCUCUCACGGGUGUAGGUUUGUCCAUCGCCAUUUGACUUUAUAACCGUGCAAGACAGUUGACAGCAGAUCGCUUAUGGUAGGACCUAGCUAUUACCAAUGAUUUAUACUAUCAAAUGCAGUGUCAGUGAAUGGUGUUCCUUUAUCAUGGUUGAAGGUUGCAUGUCUUCUGCUAGGUUCAUUGAUACUUCUCGGUAUGUACUUGAAUGUUCCUUACCUAAUUUUUUAGUGGCUACUA